rnacentral:rRNA from 1 species
UACGGAGGAUGCGAGCGUUAUCCGGAUUUAUUGGGUUUAAAGGGUGCGCAGGCGGUCUGUUAAGUCAGCGGUAAAAGCCCGGGGCUCAACCCCGGCGAGCCGUUGAAACUGGCAGUCUUGAGUACAGUAGAGGUGGGCGGAAUUCGUGGUGUAGCGGUGAAAUGCUUAGAUAUCACGAAGAACUCCGAUUGCGAAGGCAGCAUACCGGCGGCGAUCUGACGCUGAGGCACGAAAGCGUGGGUAUCGAACAGG